AUAUAGACUGCUCUCAGAACAUGACAUGCCAAUAGGAGUAGGUUAUACAGCACAAACAGAUCUGGGAACAGGCUUGUCCUGAGACAUGGUUGUAGACUCCUAUGGUAUCUAAAAGAAGGUUAUGCAGCAC